rnacentral:rRNA from 1 species
UACGUAGGGUGCAAGCGUUGUCCGGAAUUAUUGGGCGUAGAGAGCUCGUAGGCGGUUUGUCGCGUCUGCUGUGAAAACCCGAGGCUCAACCUCGGGCCUGCAGUGGGUACGGGCAGACUAGAGUGCGGUAGGGGAGAUUGGAAUUCCUGGUGUAGCGGUGGAAUGCGCAGAUAUCAGGAGGAACACCAAUGGCGAAGGCAGAUCUCUGGGCCGUAACUGACGCUGAGGAGCGAAAGCGUGGGGAGCGAACAGG